CUCAAAGGAAUUGACGGGGACCCGCACAAGCGGUAGAUGACGUGGAUUAAUUCGAUGCAACGCGAAAAACCUUACCUACCCUUGACAUGUCUAAGACCCCGAAGAGAUUUGGGGGUGCUCGAAAGAGAAUUGGAACACAGGUGCUGCAUGGCCGUCGUCAGCUCGUGUCGUGAGAUGUUGGGUUAAGUCCCGCAACGAGCGCAACCCUUGUCAUUAGUUGCUACGAAAGGGCACUCUAAUGAGACUGCCGGUGACAAACCGGAGGAAGGUGGGGAUGACGUCAGGUCCUCAUGGCCCUUAUGGGUAGGGCUUCACACGUCAUACAAUGGUCGGGACAGAGGGCAGCCAACCCGCGAGGGGGAGCCAAUCCCAGAAACCCGAUCGUAGUCCGGAUUGCAGUCUGCAACUCGACUGCAUGAAGUCGGAAUCGCUAGUAAUCGCGGAUCAGCAUGUCGCGGUGAAUACGUUCCCGGGUCUUGUNCACACCGCCCGUCACACCAUGGGAGUGGGUUCUACCAGAAGUAGUUAGCCUAACCGCAAGGAGGGCGAUUACCACGGUAGGGUUCAUGACUGG
rnacentral:rRNA from 1 species